UGGGGAAUAUUGCGCAAUGGGCGAAAGCCUGACGCAGCGACGCCGCGUGAGGGAUGAAGGCCUUCGGGUCGUAAACCUCUUUCAGCAGGGAAGAAGCGAAAGUGACGGUACCUGCAGAAGAAGCACCGGCUAACUACGUGCCAGCAGCCGCGGUAACACGUAGGGUGCAAGCGUUGUCCGGAAUUAUUGGGCGUAAAGAGCUCGUAGGCGGUCUGUCGCGUCUGCUGUGAAAACUCAGGGCUUAACCCUGAGCUUGCAGUGGGUACGGGCAGACUAGAGUGCGGUAGGGGAGACUGGAAUUCCUGGUGUAGCGGUGAAAUGCGCAGAUAUCAGGAGGAACACCGGUGGCGAAGGCGGGUCUCUGGGCCGUAACUGACGCUGAGGAGCGAAAGCAUGGGGGAGCGAACAGGGAUUAGAUACCCUGGUAGUCCAUGCCGUAAACGUUGGGCGCUAGGUGUGGGGCUCAUUCCACGAGUUCCGUGCCGCAGCUAAC
rnacentral:rRNA from 1 species